AUGUUCGGAAGCGAUAACCGCUGAAAGCAUCUAAGCGGGAAGCGCGCCUCAAGAUGAGAUCUCCCGGGAGCUUGACUCCCCUGAAGGAACCAUCAAGACCAGGUGGUUGAUAGGCUGGGUGUGUAAGUGCAGCAAUGCAUUGAGCUAACCAGUACUAAUGAUCCGUGUGGCUUGACCAUAUAACCUCA
rnacentral:rRNA from 1 species